UCGCAAGACCAAAGUGGGGGACCUUCGGGCCUCAUGCCAUCAGAUGUGCCCAGAUGGGAUUAGCUAGUAGGUGGGGUAACGGCUCACCUAGGCGACGAUCCCUAGCUGGUCUGAGAGGAUGACCAGCCACACUGGAACUGAGACACGGUCCAGACUCCUACGGGAGGCAGCAGUGGGGAAUAUUGCACAAUGGGCGCAAGCCUGAUGCAGCCAUGCCGCGUGUGUGAAGAAGGCCUUCGGGUUGUAAAGCACUUUCAGCGGGGAGGAAGGCGUUAAGGUUAAUAACCUUGUCGAUUGACGUUACCCGCAGAAGAAGCACCGGCUAACUCCGUGCCAGCAGCCGCGGUAAUACGGAGGGUGCAAGCGUUAAUCGGAAUUACUGGGCGUAAAGCGCACGCAGGCGGUCUGUCAAGUCGGAUGUGAAAUCCCCGGGCUCAACCUGGGAACUGCAUUCGAAACUGGCAGGCUAGAGUCUUGUAGAGGGGGGUAGAAUUCCAGGUGUAGCGGUGAAAUGCGUAGAGAUCUGGAGGAAUACCGGUGGCGAAGGCGGCCCCCUGGACAAAGACUGACGCUCAGGUGCAAAAGCGUGGGGAGCAAACAGGAUUAGAUACCCUGGUAGUCCACGCCGUAAACGAUGUCGAUUUGGAGGUUGUGCCCUUGAGGCGUGGCUUCCGGAGCUAACGCGUUAAAUCGACCGCCUGGGGAGUACGGCCGCAAGGUUAAAACUCAAAUGAAUUGACGGGGGCCCGCACAAGCGGUGGAGCAUGUGGUUUAAUUCGAUGCAACGCGAAGAACCUUACCUGGUCUUGACAUCCACAGAACUUUCCAGAGAUGGAUUGGUGCCUUCGGGAACUGUGAGACAGGUGCUGCAUGGCUGUCGUCAGCUCGUGUUGUGAAAUGUUGGGUUAAGUCCCGCAACGAGCGCAACCCUUAUCCUU
rnacentral:rRNA from 1 species